GGUUACAAAUAUUUACGGAUUUUGCCCCCGAAUUACAUCUCUUGUUCAGCAAAAGCAUGGGUCUUCGUCUUUGGUCAGAUGAAAAGAAUGGGUGAUGGCAGGAAAACCAAAAUUUGUUCCAAAAUUAUACUUUGUUUAUUGUAUUUGAAAGUUGAAACCCACCCAAUAUCGAUCACAAUACGCACUCUGGAUCACUUUACCAAAAUAUGACCUAGCUCUCUUGAAACGAGAUUGACUUAGAGACGUCGUCCAUGUUUGGCCUCGCUCACCUUGUAUCGCUUCAUCUUCUCAUAGAUCUGGCCUUCAAGGAGAAGAUCAAGGAAUUCAGGAUCCGAUGCUCUCUGCCGGGGGUUUCGACAACGAUCGAUCAUCAGAUGAUGUUGGGGCUUCGAUUCGGUGGAUUCAACACCCUUCUUUGGCUUCUAGUUGGCUGGAUUGUGCAGGACGCCCCACACACUCCGCCUUAAACAAUUUCUUAUCUCAAGACUAUGGGAAUCAGAUUAUCAAAUUGGGUCAUAUAUGUAAUUGAAAGUGUUAAAAGUGUUGUAGCUGGAGUGUCAUGGCAAGCCACUGAAGGUCCAUUACAGAUUUUUGGAUUACUUCAGCAAAUUUCAUUGGUAGAAAUAUUGUGUAUGUUUAAAUGGACCAGUACUUUACAAAUCCUCCCUACCUGAUAUUGUGGCUGAAGUACCAGAUAAUGGAGGGGAUGAUGUACUGCUAAUUAAGUGAAGAGUUUAUUAGAAAUUGUGUAGACAUGUUCUCUGUUCCAUCAAAAGGGUGUGAGACAAACUUACGAGUUUGUUCCUUAUAAUUGAUCCACUAAAAGAGAACGUCAACCUUGGCCGAAGUGUCAAUAGAGGUAGCUUGUAUCAAAAAUGUAGUGCUUAUAAAUAUGGAGCUCGCAAGCUAGGCUGGAUUCUCUUGUUACCAGUAGAGAGAAUAUCAGAUGAACUUAACAAGUUUUUUGCCACACUUUGGAUAGGCAUGAAAGUAAAUGCCAGACUACUGUGCAAAAUAAUGCCUUCUUGGAGCUUGGUGAAGAUUUGGAGUUGAUACCAGUAAAUGAAACAUCAACUAUGUCUCUUUGUGGUAGGUUUAAGCUUUGUAAGUUGCAAUAAGUUUCUUUAUUUUCGGAUAAGCUAGUGCAAUAAGUUGUAUUUACG